CAACCCUCAAGACCCCUUCGGGGGACUUGGUGUUGGGGACCGGCCCGGCCUGUUUGCUCAGCGCCUGCCGCCCCCGAAAUGAAUUGGCGGCCUCGUCGCGGCCUCCUCUGCGUAGUAGCACAACCUCGCAACGGGAGCGUGACGCGGCCACUGCCGUAAAACAACCCAACUUUUAACAG
rnacentral:misc_RNA from 1 species